UAUCUUCCCGAACCCCUCUCACAACUCCUCAUCUCAUGCCUAUCUUCCCGAACCCCUCUCACGCCCUCUCCUUCCAACUCCUCCUCUUAUGUCCUCUCCAUCCAACUCCUCUCCAGCAAACCCCUCUCCGGCGAACUCCUCUCCGCGAACCUCCUCUCCUCUGAAUUCCUUCACCUCUUCGUCAAAUAGCAAAUGCCCUAAUCACUCCGCUCUUGGAUCGCCGCCUCCGCACUAGAUCUACUCGUCGGUGGUUUCCUCUGCAAAAAUGGCAAAUGCUUGGAUUUCAAGAGCAUCAAAGUAUCGGAGUUCAGUUUGGAAGGUUAGCGACAAAUGGCCAGGUUAUAAUGCCAGUGACUCAGAUUCUGAUGAGGAGAAGAUUAACAUCAAAUCAUCAGCAGAAGGACCUGGUUCAUAAGUUUACAGAAGCGGAGUAUUCUCGAGAAGAAAUUGAUGAGGUGCGAUCGGAGUUGGCAGAAUAUAUACAAGAUCAUAUUUAUGAGUAGGUCAAACAAAAUAUGACUGACAGAACUCAUCAACUUCUAGAUGCUUGAUCAAAGGGCAGAUACACAGUGAUAGGUGUUUUGUCCCAGUCUCAAGCCGUCAAUCCAUUUUGAUCAAUAUAUCUAGUAGAAGUAAGCAUGCAGAUCGUUGUCUUCGAGGCCGGCUAGCUAUUUUGUACUUUUUUUAUUUUAAAUUUGAAUGCCACUAACUAUUUUGAAACAGAAAUAUUUAGUCUUUGUGUAUAGUUGAAUUCUCCUGUAAAUACGAAUACUUUGUAGUUGAAUUCUAUUGUUUGGUACGAGUUUGAAAUCAUUAGCUGAGCUAAUUAAUGCUA